GGCUCUGUAGCUCAGUGGUAGAGCAGAGGAAUCAUAAUCCUUUGGUCGAGUGUUCAAAUCACUCCAGAGCCACCA
rnacentral:tRNA from 1 species